rnacentral:rRNA from 1 species
UACGGAGGGUGCAAGCGUUAUCCGGAUUCACUGGGUUUAAAGGGAGCGUAGGCGGAUUGGUAAGUCAGUGGUGAAAGCCCCGAGCUCAACUUGGGAAUUGCCAUUGAUACUGCUGAUCUUGAGUACGGUUGAAGUGGGCGGAAUAUGUCAUGUAGCGGUGAAAUGCUUAGAUAUGACAUAGAACACCGAUUGCGAAGGCAGCUCACUAAGCCGUUACUGACGCUGAGGCUCGAAAGCGUGGGGAGCAAACAGG